CUGUUCAAGAAGAAAUGUACUAAGUGAAUUCAUACUAUAGUGUGAAUGACGGAUAACAGCUUUGUGGGCCCCCUUCCCCUAGGGGGCUGUGCUUAAAAGUCAGGGGACUCCUAGGUCAACUAGUCUGCCUGGGACACCAGUGGACCAGAAUGGAGACUGGUCUUGACAUGGCCUGGACCCAUUUCCCCAUCCCCAACCAAUCCAGGGAACAUCCGAGUGAUUGCUCGUGUCCGGCCAGUCACCAAAGAGGAUGGGGAAGGACCUGAGGCCACCAAUGCUGUGACUUUCGAUGCCGACGACGACUCCAUCAUCCACCUGCUGCACAAGGGCAAGCCUGUGUCCUUCGAGCUGGACAAGGUCUUCUCCCCACAGGCCUCGCAGCAGGACGUGUUCCAGGAGGUGCAGGCCCUGGUCACCUCUUGCAUUGAUGGCUUCAAUGUCUGCAUCUUUGCGUACGGCCAGACGGGCGCCGGCAAGACGUACACGAUGGAGGGGACCGCUGAGAACCCAGGUAUCAACCAGCGGGCCCUGCAGCUGCUCUUCUCCGAGGUGCAGGAGAAGGCGUCUG
rnacentral:lncRNA from 1 species